CAAAUAAACCCGAGAUCAAGACAAAAAAUGCAAAAAAAAUUUUAAAGUUUAUUUGUUCAUAAAAAUAUUAGCUUUAAAAUACAAGUUAUAUAGCUUAUACGUACAAAUGAAUGGUAUCCCGCAGUUCGGAAUAAAUUGAGGAAUAAGAGUAUAUUCGUCAAAUUACGAUUACAACCGUAAAAAAAGUUAUUUGUAUGAUCAAAUUUUAUUCAUUUAAAUGCUUUUACUGAGAAAUCUGUAGUGAAAGCGCUUAAUGAAUAAAAUUUGAUCAUACAAAGAUCUUUUUUUUUACGGCUUUAAUUGUAAUUUGAUAAAUAUAGUCCUAUUCCUUAAUCUAUUCCGAACUGCGGGAUACCAUUCAUGUGUACAAAUAAGCUACAUAACUUGUAUUUUAAAGCGAAUAUUUUUAUAAACAAACUUUAACAAUUUUUUUGGAGUUUUGGUCUUGAUCUAAUCGUCUUCGGGUUUAUUUGUAUACAUACUUUGACCGUGUAAAAAGAAUUUUUAAUUCUGUAAACUCAAUUCGAAACUAAAUGGUUGAACAAAAUGUUAGUAAAACAGACAACUUUAGGAUCCUCUUUAAGAGAAAAUCCAUUAAAUAUUUAAUAAAUAAAAUAAAAUAAAUAUUUUAACUAAAAAGUUAAUCAAGUUAACAACUUUUUUUCUUAGCACAGGUCCGUGCUUGACAAACAAAAAAUCUUGAGCGUCUCGCAAAUGAAAAAAUAGGAUUGUCUAAUUCUUUUGCCCCUCAUUAUUUUUCGCAUGGUGUACUCCACGCGCGUGUCAAUUACGCAGAAAUCAAUCAAAUCAAUCAAGACAAACUUAAGAGAAACACACUUUGUUUGCGUUGUAUCGUAAUCGCAAAACAAUCUCAUUCUAAGAUAAUAUACACAAAGCUAGAAAGCUCGAGCAAAAAUGCGAUGAAUCUACAUAGUUAGUACAAAGACGAUAAUACCGUUUAUCGGACGUUUUUCCUUCCCGCCAAAAAAUAAACAUCAAAAAUAUCUUGCUGUUAGUGCACAGAUAUAGUACAGAGUUACGGGGAUUACAAAAUGGAGAUACCUGCCUCUGGCCAGUUCUGUGUCCGCGCAAACUUAUGUUAUUGCAAUCUUACAACACUAAUGACUUCAUCCUUCGUUAUGUUCAAAAAACAUCACAGAAAAAAAAAAUUUAUUUAACUUGAGUAUGUUUUUCUUCCAUUUAGAAUACAACCUCAAGUUCCACAAUAUACCAUGGCAUCGACGUAAAAUGCUGACAAGUAAUAAUUACUUUUCUUUCUUUUUCUUACAAAAAUUUUUAUUUUAUUUAAUUCUCGAUAUUAAUAAAAAGUGACAAAGUCAAAAUACGCGUCAAAUAUCAUGCCAAAUUUCACCCGAAUUUUACAUCCUGCAAGCUUUGCGAGCUUAAAUCCAUAUUGAAGAAUAUGUACAGAUAUAAAUUUGUGUACAGAAUAUAAUAUAAAUAUAAAUAUGUAUAUGUGUACACACACACACACACACACACUCACAUAUAUAUAGUUAAAAAUAAAGCCAACGGCAAACGAUGCUUAUUUUCAUACAAGAUUGCUUGCUGAAUGGAAAUACUCUGUUCUGGUGCAUUUUCAUCCAUUUUCAGAAAUGACUCAAUCAGAACAGAAUAUUUCUAUCCCAGCAAGCAAUUCAGCACAAAAACAAGUAUCUUGUGCCGCUGGGUUUAUACCCCCAAAGAAGAAAAGUACAAUUUUUUGUCGAUUGGAAGAAACUUUGAGAUUACGUUUUUUUUUUACAGUUUUGAGGGUGCUGAAUUUAAAUAUCAUCUAAAGAUCUAAAUUAUUAAAAACUUGGGGAAAUAUAUCGUACUUGAGAUAGUGCCAGCGAUCUGAAUUAACUAUAGCCAAAUUCAAGUAAGAAAUAACACGUAUUAUACAUAUAUUAAAUGAAUAUGCAGAUAUCAAUAUACAGGGUGUCCUGCAUAAGUAAAUCUAUUCAUAUACGUAUACAUAAAUCUGCCCAAUUACCUGUUCAACUAAAUAUCGUAAACUCCGCGAGUGAUCGAGAAAAGAUUAUGAACAUGUAUGUACAAGAGUAUUCAAAUUACCUAUAUCCUUUUGCAAUAAAAACAUAAGUAUAAAAAAAUAAUCGUUGUGCUUAUGUUACACGUCAUUUUUGAGGGUUCGAUUAUAUGAAAAAGGAAGGAGGAAUGCAAAUUGUAAACCAAGACGAUAGAUUCCCAAACAUUGUACGCUAUUACAAAAAAUAUUGUAAAUCUGUUUUUUAAAUCUUUUUAUGCUGUCUUAUAUAGAUCUCCCACUCCCUUUCCUUCAUUCUCUGAGUUAUAUGGGUUUUGGAGUCUGCUGUCUUGAUUUACAUUUUGUAAACAUAAUAGUUGAUUUCUGUUGAAUGUCGAACCUCAUGGAAUAAAUCUAGUGUAAGAAUCAAAUUCAGCAACUCCAAAAAAAUAAGAAUACUCUUUCUCCCUAAUAGUUUCUACUUUGUUUUAAUAAAGAGUAUUUUUAUUUUUUGGGCAAUUCUAAAGAUUAUAGUUUAGUACGAAAGUCUCACUUUAGCGGUUAUUUUUUGAGGUUAGUAAAGAACUCUGACCUGAUGGGCCAAAACGGACUUUAGAUUCGGAUUCAGCGAACCCAAAAAUAUAAGAAUAUCAUGGUCUAGUCCGCCGGACACAUUUUUUUUGUGUGCCUGUGUGCCUUUUCUAGGUCUAUUCGCGGAGCUUGCGAUAUUAAGUUGAACAGGUAAUUGGACAUACUCAUGUAAAUAAAAUCACCUAUAUAUUAAUAUCUGCAUAUUCACUUAAUGUAUAAUAUGCGCUAUUUCGUAUUUGUAUUUUGCUAUAGUUAAUUAUACAGGGGUUCGAUUCUUGAAUUCAUUUGCAAGAGAAACGUAUUCGCAAAUUUUGUUCUUACAGAAAAGUUGAAAAUUUAUUGGCUAUCGUAUAGCUUUUAACCAAUAAACCUGCAACUUUUCUGUUAGAGCGGAUAUUUGCGCAUACGUUUUCUUGCGAAUGAAUUCAAGAAUCGAGCCCCAGAUCGCUAACAUUAUCUCAAGUACAAUGUAUUUCCCCCAGUUUUUAAUAGCUUAGAUGUCUUAGAUUACAUAUUUAAACUCGGUACCCUCAAAACUGUAAAAAAAACGAAAUCCCAAGGUUUUCUCCGGUCGGCAAAAAAAUUCACUUUUUCGACACCCUUCUUUAGAUGUCAAAAUUUCAAGAAAAAAUCAAUAAAUUAAAAAAUCAUUUAGUAAUUUGCUCAUUUUUAAUUCGUUAAGAAAAUAGCAAAAUUUUAUUUUUUGACUGUAAUUUAUUGUAAACAUUAUGUGCAAAGAGAGAAUAAUAAACUACGUUAUAAUUAAAGUGUUGGUCUGACCGCCCGUUUAUUAGUCCAUCUGCAAGGUUUUUUAAAACUUUAUUUUCGCCAAUAGAUAUCUAAAAACCUUAAUUUCACUUGUAAGACUAAAAUAUAAGUGAAAUUGGUUGAUUGAAUAAAAGUUAAGGUCAAAAUCAAUGGAAAUUUUUAACAAAAUUUUUUGUAAUUAUAAAUAUUUUUUACUUAUACAUACUUGGACUUAUUUAUUUAUUACUUAUUUAUUUACUAAUCUCAUAUAUAAGUUUUUUUAUUAACAAUUUUUCUUCUCAUAAAUGUAGCUUUAUUCACACACAUUAUUUUUAGUGGAAAUAAAUGUGUAAACUAAAAAAAUCAAUUUCUAAAGAACAAGGUAAAAACACCGUCAAUUUUAGCCCAAGCAGAAAACUUGAAUUUCCAGUUUUUUACAGGUUUUGAACUGCUUAAUAUUCUGCUAUUCAUUUUUGGCUAAAGUGAAGAGAACGUUAUGUCAUUUCAGACAAAUGGAUAUUUUUUUGUCAUAAGAACAAUUACCACAGGACUUCUUAUAAAAACAAUAAUUUAUUGAGGGGAGGUGAAUAGUAGAGAAAGAAAUAGUAGAAAAAGAAAAGUGAAAUUUGCAAAAGAAAUUCGUAGAGCGCAAGAAUAUAUACAAUGUGAAUAUAUAAUGUGGAUCGUAUACAUCGUGUGUUGGAUGAGCGAGUGUGAAGCUCGCGUCUAGGACAUUUUAAUGACAGUUAUUUGACAACCUAAUGACAGUUCGUUUAAGGAUGUUAUGCCUAGAUCUAUUUCGCUAGGUCAUAAUGAUUCUGCAAGUAACACAUUUCCCGAUAAUUUUCGUGCAAAAAAAAAUAACCCAUCCCCAACCGCAGCUUCCUUCCAAGUAAAAAAAAAAAAA